AUCUCUCAGGUAUUAUAAAUUCAAAUGUCCAUAUCCUUGUUAUAUGAUUUUUUUUUUCUUUUCAGAUUAUGAUUUUGUAUUUUUGAAUGUUAAAUAUGCGCUAUCAUAAAUCAGAUGUGUACGUACACGGAAAAACUAUGCGACGUGGCGUACUAUUCCAUGCAUCUUAUGCCAUGAACACAAGAACUAACUUGGAAGUAAUUUACCAUCCUAGGGUGUGUGCUUCUGCUUUUAUAGUUCCCUAUGAUAAGGUCAUGGAAGCACUUAACGUUAAUUAUUCUCCCGGAAUGUGUUUUGAAAUGCUUGUUGAUGAAGGAGAAGACCCUGAACAUAUACGGAAUAAGUUGUUACUUCUUGCUUUUAGAUCUGAGUAGAGAUGGCAAUAGCGUGGAUGGUGCCAUAGUCACUGAUUAAAGUUUUGAGACUAUGUUUUCUCAAAAUUAAAGUUUAUUCUAUUGAGAUUUUGCUUUCUUACCUAUACGAAAGGGAUGUCUGGAAAGCAGAAUCAAAAUGCAAGCAAAAGGAAGAGAUCCAAGACUAUUACG